GAUGAACGCUGGCGGCGUGCCUAAUACAUGCAAGUCGAGCGAACAGAUGAGGAGCUUGCUCCUCUGACGUUAGCGGCGGACGGGUGAGUAACACGUGGAUAACCUACCUAUAAGACUGGGAUAACUUCGGGAAACCGGAGCUAAUACCGGAUAAUAUAUUGAACCGCAUGGUUCAAUAGUGGAAGACGGUUUUGCUGUCACUUAUAGAUGGAUCCGCGCCGCAUUAGCUGGUUGGUAAGGUAACGGCUUACCAAGGCAACGAUGCGUAGCCGACCUGAGAGGGUGAUCGGCCACACUGGAACUGAGACACGGUCCAGACUCCUACGGGAGGCAGCAGUAGGGAAUCUUCCGCAAUGGGCGAAAGCCUGACGGAGCAACGCCGCGUGAGUGAUGAAGGUCUUCGGAUCGUAAAACUCUGUUAUUAGGGAAGAACAAAUGUGUAAGUAACUAUGCACGUCUUGACGGUACCUAAUCAGAAAGCCACGGCUAACUACGUG
rnacentral:rRNA from 1 species